rnacentral:rRNA from 1 species
GACGAACGCUGGCGGCGUGCUUAACACAUGCAAGUCGAGCGGUAAGGCCCUUUCGGGGGUACACGAGCGGCGAACGGGUGAGUAACACGUGGGUGACCUGCCCUCAGCUCUGGGAUAAGCCUGGGAAACCGGGUCUAAUACCGGAUAUGACUCCAUGACGCAUGUUGUGGGGUGGAAAGCCUUGUGCGGCUGAGGAUGGGGCCCGCGGCCUAUCAGCUUGUUGGUGGGGUNAUGGCCUACCAAGGCGACGACGGGUAGCCGGCCUGAGAGGCGACCGGCCACACUGGGACUGAGACACGGCCCAGACUCCUACGGGAGGCAGCAGUGGGGAAUCUUGCGCAAUGGGCGAAAGCCUGACGCAGCGACG